rnacentral:rRNA from 1 species
GACGAACGCUGGCGGCGUGCUUAACACAUGCAAGUCGAACGGUGAAGCGCCUUCCUUUUUGGUGGGUGUGGAUGAGUGGCGAACGGGUGGGUAACACGUGAGUAACCUGCCCCCUUCUUCUGGAUAACCGCAUGAAAGUGUGGCUAAUACGGGAUAUUCUGGGUCUGUCGCAUGAUGGGUCUGGGAAAGAUAUUGUUUCGGUGGGGGAUGGGCUCGCGGCCUAUCAGCUUGUUGGUGGGGUGAUGGCCUACCAAGGCGGUGACGGGUAGCCGGCCUGAGAGGGUGGACGGUCACACUGGGACGGAGACACGGCCCAGACUCCUACGGGAGGCAGCAGUGGGGAAUAUUGCACAAUGGGCGCAAGCCUGAUGCAGCGACGCCGCGUGAGGGAUGGAGGCCUGCGGGUUGUGAACCUCUUUCGCCAGUGAAGCAGGCCUGCCUCGUUUGUGGGUGGGUUGACGGUAGCUGGAUAAGAAGCGCCGGCUAACUACGUG